rnacentral:rRNA from 1 species
UGGGGAAUAUUGGACAAUGGGGGAAACCCUGAUCCAGCAAUGCCGCGUGAGUGAAGAAGGCCUUAGGGUUGUAAAGCUCUUUCGCCCGCGAAGAUAAUGACGGUAGCGGGAGAAGAAGCCCCGGCUAACUCCGUGCCAGCAGCCGCGGUAAUACGGAGGGGGCUAGCGUUGUUCGGAAUUACUGGGCGUAAAGCGUACGUAGGCGGAUGCGCAAGUUGGGGGUGAAAUCCCGGGGCUUAACCUCGGAAUUGCCCUCAAAACUGCACGUCUUGAGACCGAGAGAGGUAAGGGGAAUUCCUAGUGUAGAGGUGAAAUUCGUAGAUAUUAGGAAAAACACCAGUGGCGAAGGCGCCUUACUGGCUCGGUACUGACGCUGAGGUACGAAAGCGUGGGGAGCAAACA